rnacentral:rRNA from 1 species
GUGUUACGCCAACAGGUGGAUGGCUCGGCUCAAGAGCUGAUGAAGGACGUGCCAAGCUGCGAUAAGCUCAGGGUAGACGCAAGGAAUCUAUGAACCUGAGAUCUCCUAAUGGGAAUCCCGUUGCCCGUGAGGGUAACGAUCAGUCAUGAUCGGUAACGCCCCGAAUUGAAACAUCUUAGUAGGGGCAGGAAAAGAAAUCAAUAAGAGAUGCCGUUAGUAAAGGCGAUUGAAACCGGCAGAGUUCAAACUGAAUCCGCAGUAGGAAUAUUGCGGAGAUGUGGUUUAUGGCUGACUCUAUUUUCCUAUCUCACCCAAUCAAACUUGCCUGAAACGGCAGACCAUAGAGUGUGAUAGUCACGUCGAUAAAAGUGAACGGAAAAUUGUCAUGUCCUGAGUAGUGUGGGUCGGAAAUCUCGCACGAAUAUGGGGGUCACCAAUCUCCAAAACUAAAUACUCCUUGAGUCCGAUAGCGAAUUAGUAGGGUGACCGAACGCUGAAAAGUACCCCGAGAAGGGAGGUAAAAAGUGCCUGAAACCUGUUGGUUAUAGAACGAUGGAGCGUGCAAGGAUCUUUCUUAUGAAGGAAAAAACCGCGAGGUUUGUGUACGAAUAAGAUUGCCGAUGUUCCAUCUUAAGUUUUGAAGAACUGGCCAGGGAGUUUAUUUUGAUGGCGAAGGCUAACUAUUCUCAUAGGCAGCCAAAGCGAAAGCAACAUGUGCGCAACCUUCGGGUGAGGCACGGCGUAUACAAGUGCGCGGAGUCAUCGGAAUAAGACCCGAAGCCGGGCGAUCUAGGCGUGGGCAGGUUGAAGCGUGGCGAAAGCUGCGUGGAGGACCGCAAGUGGUAUUGAUCUGCAAAUCAUUCACGUGACCCACGUCUCGGAGUGAAAUGCUAAUCUAGCCCGGCAUCCGCUGGUUCCCUCCGAAACAUGUCGUAGCAUGACCUGACCCGAGGUCGUUGGUGGAGUAGAGCACUGAUUGGGGAAUCCGGGGAAGAAAUUCUUCGCUCUUCUGUCAAACUCCAAACCCACCCACACCGUAGACGGUCGGAGUCCGCACUGCUGGGGUAAGCUUGUAGUGCGUAAGGGAGACAACCCUGCCCGUGGUUAAGGUCCCCAAGUGUCGGCUAAGUGUAAACACUAAAGGGCGUCCCAAGCCCAAAACAGCUGGAAGGUUAGCUUAGAAGCAGCUAUCCUUUAAAGAGUUCGUAACAGACCACCAGUCGAGGUUUGGGGCCCCGAAAAUUGACGGGGCUCAAGCCGACCACCGAUACCACGGAGUACCGUAUAGGUAAUCUCGUAGGAGGGCGUUGCGUUCGGGCAGAAGCAGGGCUGUGAAGUCCUGUGGACCGUUCGCAAACGAAAAUCCUGGUAAUAGUAGCAGCAUAGUCAAGUGAAAAUCUUGACCGCCGAAGGGGCCAGGUUUCCUCGGCAAUGAUCAUCAGCCGAGGGUUAGUCGGUCCUAAGAUGUACCGUAACUCGAGUACAUCGAAUCAGGGAAACAGGUUAAUAUUCCUGUACCGUUCGACAAUAAUCCUGACGCUUCAGGGCAGACCGAGCGGCGUCGUCGCGCCGUUUAAGCGCCGAAGUUUGUGGAGAGCCGUAAUGGCGAGAAGCGAAUGAAUGCGUUAUGACGAAAGUCGGUUGCACCCCGGAGCCCGUGAAAAGGGGUCGAAACGUCCGUACCAAGAUCUGACACAGGUGCCCCUAGCUGAAAAGGCUAAGGCGUGACGGAGUAAUUCAGUUUAGGGAAUUCGGCAAAUUAGCUCCGUAACUUCGGGAGAAGGAGUGCCUGCUGUGAAGACAGCAGGUCGCAGUGACCAGGGGGCUCCAACUGUCUAAUACCAACAUAGGAGAUCGCAAAUCCGUAAGGAUGAGUACGAUCUCUGAAUCCUGCUCAGUGCAGGUACCUCAAACCCCGGUUCAACGGGACGAAGGGCCUGUAAACAGCGGGGGUAACUAUGACCCUCUUAAGGUAGCGUAGUACCUUGUCGCUUAAUUGGCGACUUGCAUGAAUGGAUCAAUGAGAGCCCUACUGUCCCAAACUGGAAUCCGGUGAAGCUUACAUUCUAGUGCACAGUCUAGAGACCUCUGGGGGGAAGUGAAGACCCCAUAGAGCUUUACUGCAGCCUGUCGUUGAGUUGUGAUUUCGAAUGUACAGUGUAGGUAGGAGACGUCGAAGCGGGCGCGCCAGCGUUCGUGGAGUCAAAAGUGGGACACUACCCUUUUGGAAUUACGAUUCUCACUCUCUUUUGAGAGGACCCCGAUAGGUGGGCAGUUUGCCUGGGGCGGGACGCCCUUGAAAAGAUAUCAAGGGUGCGCAAUGGUUGACUCAAGUGGGUCGGAAACUCACUGAAGAGUGCAAGAGCAUAAGUCAGCCUGACGUUAUUUCGCACAACAAGGAAUGACGAGACGAAAGUCGGUUCUAGCGAACUUUUGAGCCCGCUUGGUGCGGGCCAAAAACUACAGAAAAGUUACCUUGGGGAUAAUUGUGUCGUUGCCGGCAAGAGUACAUAUCGACCCGGCAGCUUGCUACUUCGAUGUCGGUUCUUUCCAUCCUGGCCGUGCAGCAGCGGCCAAGGGUGAGGUUGUUCGCCUAUUAAAGGAGAUCGUGAGCUGGGUUUAGACCGUCGUGAGACAGGUUGGUUACUAUCUACCAGAGGUGUUUGAUGUCUGAGGGUAAGUUGCUUUUAGUACGAGAGGAACAAAGCAACGGUGCCACUGGUCUACCUGUUGUCUGACAAGGCAUCGCAGGGCAGCUACGCACCAAGGAAUAAGAGCUGAAUGCAUCUAAGCUCGAAAUCUCACCUAAAUAAGAGACAUCGUUAAGGACACUCGUAAAAGACGAGGUUGAUCGAAACGGGAUGUACGCACCAAGGCAACGAGGUGUUUAGUCCGCGUUCACGAAUAGUCCGUAC